UAUGUCCCAGGAGAGUACAAGAACUGCCCAUAAUACUAUGGCUGGUGUGGCUGGUACACAUCUCAUUUGUGUGCAAUUGGGGCAGUACCAGUAAGGCUGCACAAGAGCUGAGAAGGGCUCAUGGAUGCCACAGAAGACUACUCUGAUAAAGAUGCAUGCUUGUGAUAAUGGAGAAACUGGAUAGACAGAAAAAGCUGGCAGCAUCUUCCUCAGUUCAUGUGGAACAUACUGGAACAAAGAUAUCCAAGAACACUGAAGACUAACAGGCAAGGAUAUGGGCUUCCUGAAGGGACUUAUGCCUUUGCUGAUGCUCCUCUUCUAAUUCCUGGAUCUCCUGAGUCAGCCUCUGUCGCUCCUGACUGAACUGGGCUUGUAGCUGUUGUAAAGAGCUCUGUGACUGGGAAAGCUGCAUCUCCAGAUUCUGCUUCAGUAAGGAGAUCUAAUCCACAAGAGAACAGCAAAUAUCUGUUAGUCAUUAAUACUAAAAUCAACUGUAAAGAAAAUAUUCAAAGAAGACAACACUUGAAAUUUUAAAGCCAUUGUUAGCUGAAAGACAGACAAGCAAUGUCAUCCAUGUAUGAAUUUGCUGUUAAUAUUAUAUGUCAGAGAUAUAAUAACUACAUUUUAAUGAUUUUGUAAGGAUUAUCACAUUGGUUAGUUUACACUACAGCACUGCCUGUAACACAAUUUUU